AGAGUUUGAUCCUGGCUCAGAAUCAACGCUGGCGGCGUGCCUAACACAUGCAAGUCGAGCGAGAAAAGGGGAGCAAUCCCCUGAGUAAAGCGGCGCACGGGUGAGUAACACGUGGGUAAUCUGCCCUGAAGUGGGGAAUAACACCGGGAAACCGGUGCUAAUACCGCAUAUGAUCACGGUGUCUGCGGACACAGGGAUGAAAGGAGCAAUUCGCUAUGAGAGGGGUCCGCGGCUGAUUAGCUAGUUGGUGAGGUAAUGGCUCACCAAGGCAACGAUCAGUAGCCGGUCUGAGAGGACGGUCGGCCACACUGGAACUGAGACACGGUCCAGACUCCUACGGGAGGCAGCAGUGGGGAAUUUUUCGCAAUGGGGGCAACCCUGACGAAGCAAUGCCGCGUGGAUGAUGAAGUAUUUCGGUACGUAAAAUCCUUUCGACGGGGACGAAACCGCAAGGUUGACGGUACCCGUAGAAGAAGCCCCGGCUAACUCCGUGCCAGCAGCCGCGGUAAU
rnacentral:rRNA from 1 species